GUUAUCAAAUUAUGGCCUCUCAGCUCUGAUUGCACCUUUCAAAACAUGUUCUGUGCUAAACAACAGGAUUUUUUUUUUAAUUUUAUGUAUUUAUUUUGAGAGAGAGAGUGCAGGGGAGGAGCAGAGAGAUAGGAAGGAAGAGAGAAUCUCAAGCAGACUCUGCACUGUCAGUGCAGAGCUCGAUGUGGGGCUCGAACUCAUGAACCCUGAGAUCAUGGCUUGCAGUGAAGUCAGAUGCUUAACCAACUGAGCCACCCAGUCGCCCCUUAACAAUAGGAUUCUUCAAGCAUUUCUCCUUUAAAGUGAAUAAGAUGCAAACUUUCUCAGUUGAAGGCAAUGGAGGGACAUUUCUGGAGGAAGAGGCUGGCCUUCCCUUUUCUGGGGCAGAAGGGUGGAUAUGAGGAUGCCUACUGAAGCUUACCCCAGCCAUGGGCCCAGAGCACCAUCCGUCUGUAACUCUGCAGUCUUAGCGGACAGACAACCUUUCCACAGCCCUCUCCACAAGCACUCAAGCCCCCAUAUGCUCCACAUGUCCUAAAGGCCUCCUGCACGUGCCAGGGCCGCAGAUCACCCACACUACCCACACCACCCACACCACCUAGGUUGAUAGCCUGCAUCCCCUCCUGCAAUCCAGAAGGUGGCCUACUGCUUAUCCAGUGACUCCAGACCAGCUCCAGCUUGGCCAAAUCACCCAACUUCUCUGCUAUCAGAUGGCUGACCCACAUUGCUAUGGACUGAAUUGUGUCCCCCAAGAUUUAUAAAUUAAACUUACCUAACCCCCAUGGGAUGAUAUCUGGAGGUGGGGCAUUUGGAAGAUAAUUACAUUUAGAUGAGAUCAUGAGGGUGGGGCUCUCAUGAUGGAAUUAUUGCCUUAGAAGAAGAAACUCUAGAGAACACUGUCUCUCUCCCUUCCUCCCUCUUUUCCCUCUCUGUGAGGAUGCAGCCAAAAGUCAUUAUCUGCAAACCAGGAAGGAAGCCCUCACUAGGGAACCUAAUCAACUGGCACUUGGGUCUUGGACUUCCAGCCUCCAGAAUUGUGAGAAAUAAAUGCCUUUUGUUCAAGCCAUCAAGUCUAUGGUAUUCUGUUAUGGCAGCCUGAGCUAAUACCCUCACCUUCUCUAAUGAAGCUGAAUCCCUUCCAAGUUUGCCCUUUUUUAAGUACACUCCUUCAGCUCUAAGGUACCAGAUAGUUUUCUUACAGCUUAUAGUUACUCUUUAUCACAGUUAAUAAUUCUUUAUAUUAAACUGCCCCCAUUAAAGUUGCUGUGUAGUUUCUAUCUCCUGACUGGACUCAAACUCCUUCCCCAGUAUUUUCUAUCAUUAACCUUUUUUCCUUUUUUGUUUUGUUUUGUUUUUAAGUUUCUUUAUUUUGAGAGAGAGAAUGCAAGCGAGGGAGGAGCAGAGAGAGAGGGGAAGAGAGAGAAUCCCAAGCAGGCUCCAUACUGUCAGCGCAGAGCGCAACUUGGGCCUUGACCUCAUCAACCAGGAGAUCACAACCUGAGCCAAAAUCAGGAAUCGGAUGCUCAACCAACUGAGCCACCCAGGCCUCACAAGAGGGAGUUAUCUGCUGUGGACUGAAUGUAGUUCAAUACCAAGCUGUUUCUGGAGACAAUAGGAAGCAGAGGAAGGACAGUAUCUUGAAGGAUGUUAACGAGGAAGGCUUCCUGGAGGAGAUGGGAUACAUGACGGAUAUCAAGGAAUUAUCAACGGUUUUGUUUUUUGUGGGUUGUUUUUUGGUUUGGUUUGGUUUGGUUUGGUUUGGUUUUGGUUUUUGGUUCUUGGCUUUUGGUUUCUUUUGUUUUGUUUUGUUUCUGUUUUUUAUUUUUAGGAAUUAUCAACUUUUAAUGCUGUGAUGUGUUUACUUGUCACUGGCCUUUAAAGUGUAUUAAUCCUGGGAUGCCGGGGUGGCUCAAUUGGCUGAGCAUCCAACUACAGCUCAGGUCAUGAUCUCGUGAUUUGUGAGUUCGAGCCCUGCAUUGGCUCUCUGCUGUCAGCACAGAGCCUACUUAAGAUCCUCUGUCCCCCUCUCUCUCUACCCCUCGCUGCUCAUGCUCUCUCUCUCUCAAAAAUGAAUUUUUAAAAAAACAUUAAAUUUUUUUCUAAAAUGUAUUAUUCCUGCUGUUAGGAUUUUGCUCAAUAUCCUUUCUGCUUGAAACAUUCUUCCCACAUUCAGCCUAUUCAAAUUCUUCCCAUCUUUUAAGGCCACCUCAAAUUCUUUCCUUCCUUCAACAAGAAUCGAUAAUAAAAUCCUUACAACAAGAAGGGGUCUUGUGCUCCCUAUCUUUAGGGACGACCAGAAAGAGGGAAGAGAAGAGUUUGAGAGUCUGUGUCCUACUUGAAGUGAGAAAACCCAAGGGAUAAAGCAUAUGGUCACAGUUUCCAAAGAAGAGCCACAUCAGCAUUGACCUAUCCCAUUACACCUCAUCUUAUUUCCACAUGAAUCCUAGGAGACAGAUGCCACUCCUCAUUGCUCCGCACCGUUGACAGAUUACUGUACGCAUGUCAUAGGGUUGUUCCGAGGAUUAAAUGAGUUUCAGCAUGCAGAGUGCUGACACAGUAAACAUUCAAUGCCUGUUUAUUACUAUGACUUAAUUCAUAUCAAUCAAAAAGAUUAAUUAAGUUGCUCAGGCAUCCCAGAGAUACCACACACUUAGGGAUAUUUCCUAUAUUAAUUUCUUGCCUUGGGAAUUCCCAGAUCAAGUACGUAAUAUCAAACAUCAAACCUACCUGACAUACAGUCCCAUGGUUGCAAAUUCUCACGUGAAACUCUCACACCCCUCUCCCAACCACCUCUGUCACACUACCACCACCAUUUGCAACUUGUAAAUCCAGACACCAGACUGUCAUCCGUCUUGGUAGGAUUUUUUUCUUUAGUUCCACCCUACCCACUGCCCCUUGUGCUGAAGGUGUAGUUUUUAAGGGCUUGCAGCAUGGGCCCAAAGCCUCUAAUUCUGUCUCUGUGAGCAUUAAAACUCAAGUCCUGGAAGUAAUGGAAAAACAACAUCCUUCUUGCAUCCACCGCUAUCUGGGCAGUCUUAGUAUAGGCUCAAAUUCCUUUACUUUUCAAAAUAUUUUUUUAAUGUUUAUUUAUUUUGAGAGAAGGAGGGAGAGAGAGAAUCCUAAGCAGGCUCUGCUCUGUCAGCACAGAGAUGAACUGGGGGCUUCAUCUCACAAACCAUGAGAUCAUGACCUGAGCCCAAAUCAAGAGUCCAACACUUAACCAACUGAGCCACCCAGGCACCCUUAUAGGCUUAAAUUCCUGUUAUUCAGAUCAUUAGAUCUCUCAGCUAUGCAUUUACAAGGACAUUUACUAUGUUGUUCUUGUUGGGUUUUUAAUCCAGCAUAUCUAGGUGUUUUACGACUGGAGGAUUUUCUGGUUAUUCUAAUUUUCCAGAACUAAGAUUCCCAUCACAGUUUUUCACUGACAAUCAAAUUAGGGCUGUUUACCUUUAUGUUCUCAGCUCUUACCUAAGGGAGCAUUUCAUGUAGUUUUAAAUUCCUAAAAAUAAGCUCAUGUUUUAGAGAUGAAUGUUUAUUGAAAACCCAGAGGAAAUUAUGGUGUAGAUUAUAAAACAACUGCCCAGGGGCACCUGGGUGGCUCAGUAGGUUGUGUCCGACUUUGGCUCAGGUCAUGAUCUCACGGUUCGUGAGUUUGAGCCCCCCGUCAGGCUCUGUGCUG